GAGCUUGUGUCCGUUUUUGGGAAAUCCAGAGUGCCUGCCAUCCUAGUCAGUUAGGUAUUCAGUAACCGAGAAGCAGGGACUGAGGGGAAAUUGCAAGGACAGCAUUUGUGACCCUUUGAGCUGAAAAAGAAAUGGGCUUCCCUUUACAAACUCACCAACAGCUUGCUAUCCUAGUUCAUGUCAUGCUGUAACUCUCACUGCUAAGGGCCUUGCAGAUAAACACAUCUGAUCUUGCUUAAGUGCUCUCAAACACUGGCUCACAAAGGUUUAAAGAGAACUAAGCAAAUAAAAGAAGCAGAGAACAUUUCCAGACUCAAGUCGGUAGUUAUGAAAGUGAGAUUUUACAUCUAUCAGCAUGGGGCACCUGAGUCUUGCUGCAGUCUUACUGAGACUGACUGAUUUGGAAAAUCUGGGUUUAUGGCCCAGCGAUUUGUGGUUUAAGUAAAAAAUAUAGAUGGAAAGAGUUGCUUUAUUUGCCAAGCAUUUGAGGCAAAUGUAGAGGAUGUAGAAAUUAGAAAAGUAAAGACUUUUUUUUUUUUUUUUUGGUUUCUUGAGACAGGGUUUCUCUGUGUAGCCCUGGCUGUCCUGGAACUCACUCUGUAGACCAGGCUGGCCUCGAACUCAGAAACCCGCCUGCCUCUGCCUUGCAAGUGCUGGGAUUAAAGGUGUGCACCACCACACCCGGCAAGGUUUGUUUUAUUAAAUCUUUCUUUGUGCUUUUUAUAACACAGUACUGAAUUUAAUAAUCAAUGAAUAUGUUUUCUUUUCUUCCCAAGUUUUUCCAAUAUCCUACCUUUAAACCAUUACUAUACCUUUUCUUUUCUUUUCUUUUCUUUUCUUUUCUUUUCUUUUCUUUUCUUUUCUUUUCUUUUCUUUUCUUUUGAGAGAGGGUCUCUGUAUAUUCCUGGCUGUCCUGGAACUGUAGGUAUACCAGGCUGGCCUUGAGCGUACAGAGACCCACCUGGCACUGACUCUGGAUUGCUGAGGUUAAAGGCAGUGCACUACAGAGCCCAGCUAAGUGACACCUUUAAACAUCUUUCCAGAGAGAUUCCUUUGGAUGACCUUGAUGGUGGCCUUUGCCCACAUCUUGUCAGUCUCACUUGUACCAUGCUAUGGCAUGACUGAAGCAUUUAAGCUAUGCUGAGUCUGUGAAGAUCAAACCAGAGAAUCAGGCUUCCCUUUGCACUAAUACAUUUCUUCUUUAUCACCUCAGCUAUCUGUAACAGGAAGGGCCAUAAAACCCUGCUCAGCCACUAUUAACAAUGAAGACUGUAAGAUGUAAUCAUACUUUGGAGGCGGGGGAGGGGCUUGCUAGCAAAAUAGUUUCCUUUUCAUUUCCAACCCUGAAAAUUCUCCAAGAGGUAAACUCUAACGUCUCUUUCAUCUCUAGAGUAGAUUCAGAACAUCCACUGGAGGUAAGUACAAAGGACUGUGGGUCUACUCUAUGGUUCUGCUUCUAAUAUAAUGGCGUCAGGGAGCUCUCCUGCCCCCCAAUCAUAAACAUUUCCCGGAAAACCAGUUACAAGUCUGACUUCUCCUCUCUAGGCUCUCUCCUCUGACUUGCUGCAGCUUCCUCAUGUAUAGCCAGCUAGCCACCUUUGAGUCAUUGUUCUCCUCCUUUGAAAUUCUCUACUUUACGGUAGCUAUUAAUAAUUUUUUUCUAGUUGAGCCAAAAGACCAGAGUUUAUAUUUAUACAGAGACUAGUACACAUUUGUAUGGAUAUACAGAGAAUUACUAGGAAUAGUCACAAAAAUCUAACAAUGACUCACAGGUGUAAGUCUUCCCAGCUUUGAUUGUCUGAGUUGUUUGAUUUCCCUACACUGUGCACGAAUGAGCUCCUUCCCCAGAUAAUAACAUGACUGAGAGUCUGCUGAGAGCAGCCGUGGGGAAUUCUGCUUGUCGAAGUUAAAUGUCCUCAUCUUUAGUGUUGCUGGAACUGUUUUCCUUUCCAAUAGGAAUACUUUAGAGAGCAAG
rnacentral:lncRNA from 1 species